rnacentral:rRNA from 1 species
AAGCUCGUAGUUGAAUUUCGGGAUCAGACUGUCGGUCGUGCCUCGGUACGCACUGGCAUUAUUGGUUCCUACCUUCUGAAGAACCGCGAUGUCAUUAAUUUGGUGUCGUGGGGAAUCAGGACUGUUACUUUGAAAAAAUUAGAGUGUUUAAAGCAGGCGCACGCUUGAAUACAUUAGCAUGGAAUAAUGAAAUAGGACGUUUGAUUCUAUUUUGUUGGUUUCUAGGAUUGACGUAAUGAUUAAUAGGGAUAGUUGGG